AUUGAACGCUGGCGGCAUGCUUUACACAUGCAAGUCGAACGGCAGCGCGGGGCAACCUGGCGGCGAGUGGCGAACGGGUGAGUAAUAUAUCGGAACGUCCCCAAGAGUGGGGGAUAACGUAGCGAAAGUUACGCUAAUACCGCAUACGAUCUUAGGAUGAAAGCAGGGGACCGCAAGGCCUUGUGCUCCUGGAGCGGCCGAUAUCUGAUUAGCUAGUGGGUGAGGUAAAGGCUCACCAAGGCGACGAUCAGUAGCUGGUCUGAGAGGACGACCAGCCACACUGGGACUGAGACACGGCCCAGACUCCUACGGGAGGCAGCAGUGGGGAAUUUUGGACAAUGGGCGCAAGCCUGAUCCAGCAAUGCCGCGUGAGUGAAGAAGGCCUUCGGGUUGUAAAGCUCUUUUGUCAGGGAAGAAACGGCUGAGGAUAAUACCUUCGGCUAAUGACGGUACCUGAAGAAUAAGCACCGGCUAACUACGUGCCAGCCGCCGCAGUAA
rnacentral:rRNA from 1 species